rnacentral:sRNA from 1 species
GUGCACUUCUAUUAGUAAUACUGUUGUUUUGUUUUUUCAUCUCUAGUUACUGCUGACACUAACAAAUGUGACAUUUUAAAUGCACUCCAAGCGUGUAAGUCUAAUACCACCUGCACUAUCAACAGUGAUGGUCAAGCGACUUGCAACGAAGAUUCGUCUGAUGUGAACGUGCCACUGAUUAUCGGCCUUUGUGUGGGUAUGCCCCUUGCUCUUGUGUGUAUUGUGGUUUUGGUCCUGCUCAUUGAAUACAGAAAGAAAUAUCUGGAACAAAGAAGGAUCAAUGCAAGAGAGUCCGACUAUACUGAUCGACCUUCAACUCCAAAAGAUGGCUUCAGUGGUUCAAGGCCUUCAUCAGGGAAACAUUUAUUACCGAUGUCUAAAGAAAAACUGCUGAAUUAACAAAUUGUGUGCGAGAGUAUUUUGUUGACCUUAUUUAAAAAAUAUAAACAGGUUUUAUUUUAUUU